rnacentral:rRNA from 1 species
GAGCGGAGAUGAGGUGCUUGCACCUUAUCUUAGCGGCGGACGGGUGAGUAAUGCUUAGGAAUCUACCUAUUAGUGGGGGACAACGUUUCGAAAGGAACGCUAAUACCGCAUACGUCCUACGGGAGAAAGCAGGGGACCUUCGGGCCUUGCGCUAAUAGAUGAGCCUAAGUCGGAUUAGCUAGUUGGUGGGGUAAAGGCCUACCAAGGCGACGAUCUGUAGCGGGUCUGAGAGGAUGAUCCGCCACACUGGGACUGAGACACGGCCCAGACUCCUACGGGAGGCAGCAGUGGGGAAUAUUGGACAAUGGGGGGAACCCUGAUCCAGCCAUGCCGCGUGUGUGAAGAAGGCCUUUUGGUUGUAAAGCACUUUAAGCGGGGAGGAGGCUACUUACAUUAAUACUCUAGGAUAGUGGACGUUACCCGCANAAUAAGCACCGGCUAACUCUGUGCCUGCAGCCGCGGUAAUACAGAGGGUGCKAGCGUUAAUCGGAUUUACUGGGCGUAAAGCGUGC